GAUGAAGAACGUAGCGAAAUGCGAUACGUAAUGUGAAUUGCAGAAUUCAGUGAAUCAUCGAAUCUUUGAACGCACAUUGCGCCCGCCAGCACUCUGGCGGGCAUGCCUGUUCGAGCGUCAUUUCAACCAUCAAGCCCCCGGCUUGUGUUGGGGACCUGCGGCUGCCGCAGGCCCUGAAAAGCAGUGGCGGGCUCGCUGUCACACCGAGCGUAGUAGCAUACAUCUCGCUCUGGGCGUGCUGCGGGUUCCGGCCGUUAAACCACCUUCAUAACCCAAGGUUGACCUCGGAUCAGGUAGGAAGACCCGCUGAACUUAAGCAUAUCAAUAAGCGGAGGA
rnacentral:misc_RNA from 1 species